ACAGUCAUAUCACAUUGAAACACCAAUUCUAAUCUGAUCACUGAAGUUAAGCAACAUUGAGUCUGGUCAGUACCUAGAUGGGUGACCACUUGGGAAUACCAGGUGCUGUAA